CAAUAGCGUAUAUUAAAGUUGUUGCAGUUAGAACGCUCGUAGUCGGAUUUCGGGGCGGGCCGACCGGUCUGCCGAUGGGUAUGCACUGGUCGGCGCGUCCUUCCUUCCGGAGACCGUCCCUACUCUUAACUGAGCGGGGGCGGGAGACGGGACCUUUACUUUGAAAAAAUCAGAGUGUUUCAAGCAGGCAGCUCGCUCUUGCAUGGAUUAGCAUGGGAUAAUGAAAUAGGACUUUGGUGCUAUUUUGUUGGUUUCGAACACCGAAGUAAUGAUGAGAAGGGACAGUCAGGGGCACUCGUAUUCCGCCGAGAGAGGUGAAAUUCUCAGACCAGCGGAAGACGAACCACUGCGAAAGCAUUUGCCAGGGAUGUUUUCACUG
rnacentral:rRNA from 1 species